ACUCAAAUGAAUAGACGGGGGCCCGCACAAGCAGCGGAGCGUGUGGUUUAAUUCGAUGCAACGCGCAGAACCUUACCUAGGCUUGACAUGCACGUGGUACCAAGGUGAAAGCCGAGGGACCCGCGAGGGAGCGUGCACAGAUGCUGCAUGGCUGUCGUCAGCUCGUGCCGUGAGGUGUUGGGUUAAGUCCCGCAACGAGCGCAACCCUUGUCCCUAGUUAUCACGUCUAGGGAGACCGCCGGUACAAACCGGAGGAAGGUGGGGAUGACGUCAAGUCAGCACGGCUCUUACGUCUAGGGCUACACACACGCUACAAUGGCCGGUACAACGGGCAUGCCAAGGGGCGACCCGGAGCUAAUCCCAUCAAAGCCGGCCUCAGUUCGGAUCGCAGGCUGCAACUCGCCUGCGUGAAGUCGGAGUUGCUAGUAACCGCUGGUCAGCACACAGCGGUGAAUACGUUCCCGGGCCUUGUACACACCGCCCGU
rnacentral:rRNA from 1 species